CCUGGCGGCCUUAGCGCGGUGGUCCCACCUGACCCCAUGCCGAACUCAGAAGUGAAACGUCGUAGCGCCGAUGGUAGUGUGGGGUCUCCCCAUGCGAGAGUAGGGAACUGCCAGGC
rnacentral:rRNA from 3 species